rnacentral:rRNA from 1 species
UACGUAGGGGGCAAGCGUUGUCCGGAAUCAUUGGGCGUAAAGAGCGUGUAGGCGGCCCGAUAAGUCCGCCGUGAAAGUCCAGGGCUCAACCCUGGAAUGCCGGUGGAAACUGUCGGGCUGGAGUCCGGAAGAGGCGAGUGGAAUUCCUGGUGUAGCGGUGAAAUGCGCAGAUAUCAGGAGGAACACCAAUGGCGAAGGCAGCUCGCUGGGACGGUACUGACGCUGAGACGCGAAAGCGUGGGGAGCGAAUAGG